AUUGCCUUAGUAACGGCGAGUGAACCGGCAAAAGCCCAGCCUUAGAAUCGAACGGUUUUGCUGUUCGAAUUGUAGUCUGGAGAAGCGUCCUUAGCGGCGGACUCGGCCCAAGUCCCCUGGAAAGGGGCGCCAGAGAGGGUGAGAGCCCCGUUGGGUCUAGACCUUGCCGCACCACGAGGUGCUGUCUUAGAGUCGGGUUGUUUGGGAAUGCAGCCCAAAUUGGGUGGUGAAUUCCGUCCAAGGCUAAAUACAGGCGAGAGUCCGAUAGCGAACAAGUACCGCGAGGGAAAGAUGAAAAGAACUUUGAAAAAAGAGUCAAAGAGUGCUUGAAAUUGUCGAGAGGGAAGCGCAUGGAGACCGGCGAUAGGCCCAGGUCGGAUGUGGAACGGUUUUUAGCCGGUCUGCUGAUAGGCUCUGGGCGUGGAUCAACGAGAAUUUGGGUGGCGGUUGAAGCUUGGGCAUUCUGAUACGCCCAGGGGAUGCCGGCUCCCAGAUUGUGGGAUGUAGCGCGCGCCCUAGGCGUGCUUCGGCAACUGCGUUCUCCGGUCGUUGACUUGUGGGCUCUCCAUUCGACCCGUCUUGAAACACGGACCAAGGAGUCUUACAUGUGUGCGAGUCAGCGGGUUGAUAAACCCGUAAGGCGUAAGGAAGCUGAUUGGCGGGAUCCCUCUUGGGGGUGCACCGUCGACUGACCUUGAUCUUUUGAGAAGGGUUCGAGUGUGAGCAUACCUGUCGGGACCCGAAAGAUGGUGAACUAUGCCUGAGCGGGGUGAAGCCAGAGGAAACUCUGGUGGAGGCCCGUAGCGAUACUGACGUGCAAAUCGUUCGUAUGACUUGGGUAUAG
rnacentral:rRNA from 1 species